rnacentral:lncRNA from 1 species
CUGUGAAAAAUAUCUUCCCUUAUACCAGAAGAAAAGUAAUAUUCUUAUCUUCCUUCUUGCUGCUGGUUAUUCAGACUGCAAUAAGUGGCAAGUGGGUGAGAGCUCCCUUUUCAAGACUUCCUGACUCCAUUUAAGAUGACGUUUCCUGUAUUUAUUUUCAUACACACCCUCGUUUAUUUUCAUAUCUCAACUCCAGCACUGUUGUAGACACAUCAAAGUUCAGAAGGAAAGGUCCAUGGUUAACUCUAAUUUUGAAGCAAUCUAAGGAAUCUGGCAAUCUGCUCGGAGUGGUACCCGCAUGAGAGCUUUCCCCUUUGGGGCUUCCUGAU